rnacentral:rRNA from 1 species
GACGAACGCUGGCGGCGUGCUUAACACAUGCAAGUCGAACGGAAAGGCCCUGCUUUUGUGGGGUGCUCGAGUGGCGAACGGGUGAGUAACACGUGAGUAACCUGCCCUUGACUUUGGGAUAACUUCAGGAAACUGGGGCUAAUACCGGAUAGGAGCUCCUGCUGCAUGGUGGGGGUUGGAAAGUUUCGGCGGUUGGGGAUGGACUCGCGGCUUAUCAGCUUGUUGGUGGGGUAGUGGCUUACCAAGGCUUUGACGGGUAGCCGGCCGGAGAGGUUGACCGGCCACAUUGGGACUGAGGUACGGCCCAGACUCCUACGGGAGGCAGCAGUGGGGAAUAUUGCACAAUGGGCGGAAGCCUGAUGCAGCAACGCCGCGUGCGGGAUGACGGCCUUCGGGUUGUAAACCGCUUUCGCCUGUGACGAAGCGUGAGUGACGGUAAUGGGUAAAGAAGCACCGGCUAACUACGUG